AAGACCUUGCGCUUUUGGAGCGGCCGAUGUCUGAUUAGCUUGUUGGUGAGGUAAAAGCUUACCAAGGCUUCGAUCAGUAGCUGGUCUGAGAGGACGGCCAGCCACACUGGGACUGAGACACGGCCCAGACUCCUACGGGAGGCAGCAGUGGGGAAUUUUGGACAAUGGGGGCAACCCUGAUCCAGCCAUGCCGCGUGAGUGAAGAAGGCCUUCGGGUUGUAAAGCUCUUUCAGCCGGAACGAAACGGUUACGGUUAAUACCCGUGACUACUGACGGUACCGGAAGAAGAAGCACCGGCUAACUACGUGCCAGCAGCCGCGGUAAUACGUAGGGUGCAAGCGUUAAUCGGAAUUACUGGGCGUAAGGCGUGCGCAGGUGGUUUUGUAAGUCAGAUGUGAAAUCCCCGGGCUUAACCUGGGAACU
rnacentral:rRNA from 1 species